AGUUGAAGGUAGUCUUGGCACCACCUCGGGGCUCAAGGUUGAGAAGGAAAAUGAGGGAGGUGGAUCUGUCUCAUUUGUAGGAAAAUUUCUUGAAACUUUUUCAGUUGAGGGUAGUCUUGGCACAACCUCGGGACUCCAGGUUGAGAAGGAAAAUGAGGGAGGUAGAUCUGUCUCAUUCCUAGGAUAAUUUCUCGAGAACACUUCAUUUGGGGGUAGUUUUGGCACCAUGUCUGGGAACUUGGGAUAGGAAGGGUAUGUAAAUUUACUAGAUAAGGGAAGACGUGAACUCGAGUUAGGAUUAAACCUCAUUG
rnacentral:lncRNA from 1 species